rnacentral:rRNA from 1 species
UACGGGGGGGGCAAGCGUUGUCCGGAAUUACUGGGCGUAAAGCGCGCGUAGUCGGUUAUUUAAGUCGGAUGUGAAAUCCCCGGGCUCAACCUGGGAAUUGCAUUCGAUACUGGAUAGCUAGAGUUCGGCAGAGGGAAGCGGAAUUUCUGGUGUAGCGGUGAAAUGCGUAGAUAUCAGAAGGAACAUCAGUGGCGAAAGCGGCUUCCUGGACCAGAACUGACGAUCAGGCUCGAAAGCGUGGGGAGCAAACAGG